rnacentral:rRNA from 1 species
AGACCCGAAACCCGGUGAUCUAGCCAUGGGCAGGUUGAAGGUUGGGUAACACUAACUGGAGGACCGAACCGACUAAUGUUGAAAAAUUAGCGGAUGACCUGUGGCUGGGGGUGAAAGGCCAAUCAAACCGGGAGAUAGCUGGUUCUCCCCGAAAGCUAUUUAGGUAGCGCCUCGUGAAUUCAUCUCCGGGGGUAGAGCACUGUUUCGGCUAGGGGGCCAUCCCGGCUUACCAACCCGAUGCAAACUGCGAAUACCGGAGAAUGUUAUCACGGGAGACACACGGCGGGUGCUAACGUCCGUCGUGAAGAGGGAAACAACCCAGACCGCCAGCUAAGGUCCCAAAGUCAUGGUUAAGUGGGAAACGAUGUGGGAAGGCCCAGACAGCCAGGAUGUUGGCUUAGAAGCAGCCAUCAUUUAAAGAAAGCGUAAUAGCUCACUGGUCGAGUCGGCCUGCGCGGAAGAUGUAACGGGGCUAAACCAUGCACCGAAGCUGCGGCAGCGAACGUAUCACCCAAGACAACUUUACGGAGUUGACGAUUGACGGAGCGAAGCGACGUCAAAGCGUUCAUUAAAGUCGAGUUGGCUUAGGGAUACGUUCGUUGGGUAGGGGAGCGUUCUGUAAGCCUGUGAAGGUGUGUCGUGAGGCAUGCUGGAGGUAUCAGAAGUGCGAAUGCUGACAUAAGUAACGAUAAAGCGGGUGAAAAGCCCGCUCGCCGGAAGACCAAGGGUUCCUGUCCAACGUUAAUCGGGGCAGGGUGAGUCGACCCCUAAGGCGAGGCCGAAAGGCGUAGUCGAUGGGAAACGGGUUAAUAUUCCCGUACUUGGUGUUACUGCGAAGGGGGGACGGAGAAGGCUAUGUUGGCCGGGCGACGGUUGUCCCGGUUUAAGCGUGUAGGUGUGUGUUCCAGGUAAAUCCGGUUCACUUUAACACUGAGGCGUGACGACGAGGCACUACGGUGCUGAAGCAACAAAUGCCCUGCUUCCAGGAAAAGCCUCUAAGCAUCAGGUAACAUCAAAUCGUACCCCAAACCGACACAGGUGGUCAGGUAGAGAAUACCAAGGCGCUUGAGAGAACUCGGGUGAAGGAACUAGGCAAAAUGGUGCCGUAACUUCGGGAGAAGGCACGCUGACACGUAGGUGAAGUGAU